rnacentral:rRNA from 1 species
GAUGAACGCUGGCGGCGUGCCUAAUACAUGCAAGUAGAACGCUGAAGCUUGGUGCUUGCACCGAGCGGAGGAGUUGCGAACGGGUGAGUAACGCGUAGGUAACCUGCCUCUUAGCGGGGGAUAACUAUUGGAAACGAUAGCUAAUACCGCAUAAAAGUCGACAUUGCAUGAUGUUGACUUGAAAGGUGCAACUGCAUCACUAAGAGAUGGACCUGCGUUGUAUUAGCUAGUUGGUGAGGUAACGGCUCACCAAGGCGACGAUACAUAGCCGACCUGAGAGGGUGAUCGGCCACACUGGGACUGAGACACGGCCCAGACUCCUACGGGAGGCAGCAGUAGGGAAUCUUCGGCAAUGGACGGAAGUCUGACCGAGCAACGCCGCGUGAGUGAAGAAGGUUUUCGGAUCGUAAAGCUCUGUUGUAAGAGAAGAACGAGUGUGAGAGUGGAAAGUUCACACUGUGACGGUAC